UGGGGAAUUUUGGACAAUGGGCGCAAGCCUGAUCCAGCCAUGCCGCGUGAGUGAAGAAGGCCUUCGGGUUGUAAAGCUCUUUCGGCCGGGAAGAAAUCGUACGGGCUAAUACCCCGUGCGGAUGACGGUACCGGCAUAAGAAGCACCGGCUAACUACGUGCCAGCAGCCGCGGUAAUACGUAGGGUGCGAGCGUUAAUCGGAAUUACUGGGCGUAAAGCGUGCGCAGGCGGUUUUGUAAGACAGAUGUGAAAUCCCCGGGCUUAACCUGGGAACUGCGUUUGUGACUGCAAGACUUGAGUGCAGCAGAGGGGGGUGGAAUUCCACGUGUAGCAGUGAAAUGCGU
rnacentral:rRNA from 1 species